GAUGAACGCUAGCGGCAGGCUUAAUACAUGCAAGUCGAGGGGCAGCAGGACUGUAGCAAUACAGUUGCUGGCGACCGGCAAACGGGUGCGGAACACGUACGCAAUCUACCCAAAACUGGUGAAUAGCCCUCCGAAAGGAGGAUUAAUACACCGUAACUUAAUGAAGUGGCAUCACUUUGUUAAUAUAGCUCCGGCGGUUUUGGAUGAGCGUGCGCCUGAUUAGGUAGUUGGCGGGGUAACGGCCCACCAAGCCAGCGAUCAGUAACUGGUGUGAGAGCACGACCAGUCACACGGGCACUGAGACACGGGCCCGACUCCUACGGGAGGCAGCAGUAAGGAAUAUUGGUCAAUGGACGCAAGUCUGAACCAGCCAUGCCGCGUGAAGGAUGAAGGUCCUCUGGAUUGUAAACUUCUUUUAUCUGGGACGAACCCGGGAAUUCUUUCCCGAUUGACGGUACCAGAGGAAUAAGCACCGGCUAACUCCGUG
rnacentral:rRNA from 1 species